CCAUGUUUUUGAUGGAAAUUCAGAAAUAUAAAUGUACUAGGAAAGGGAGGUAAUUCAACAAUAGCUUUAAAAGAAAUUAAAAUACUUUUUGAUGGUGAGUAAUUUUUAUUGAACAACAGUUAUUUAGAUAAUUUAAAGUUAUGGCAUGAUUGUAACUGUUUUGCACUAAUUUGAGUAUACAUUGAGCCAUUUAUUCUAGAAUUUACAAUUUAUCUCUUUUUUUUGUAUUGAUAUUUCCCUAAGCUGUUAAAAGGGACAUUUCAUUUCAUAGACAUUGAAGCGAAGAGCCAACUGAAAGGACAAAUUUAUCUGUGAAUAAUGUGUUUAAUCUUUUUAAUCUGAGAAUUUAAAAUUUGUCAAUACACUUCUUUUUGUUAAGUUAGAAACUUUUGAUAUCAAUACCAGUAGUUAUUUUCCUUUAAAAAUCUGUAAAAUUAACUGUAUAUAACUUUCAAUUCAUCAUGCUGGGUAUGGACAACAGCUAUUUUGAUCAGUUAGGACCCAGUCUACAAUAUACAAAGGGAAACAACUUAUGUUAAAAGUUUGUAAUAUCAGAAUCAAAUUGGUAAUUGGCCUCGUUACUGUAAAGAUUAGAUUUUUUUUUCACAUGUCAAACAAGUUGAGCCUUCAGUGAAUUUCAACAUAAUUUGUUUUGAAUUAUUUUUUAGAAAGAAUUGUUUUCAAAUAAUUCAUAAUACUUAUGUCUCAAUGCAUUUCAUGGUUUU
rnacentral:lncRNA from 1 species